CAAGUAUUCCAGAUGGUAGAA
rnacentral:siRNA from 1 species